rnacentral:rRNA from 1 species
GAUGAACGCUGGCGGCGUGCCUAAUACAUGCAAGUCGAGCGAACAGAUGAGGAGCUUGCUCCUCUGACGUUAGCGGCGGACGGGUGAGUAACACGUGGAUAACCUACCUAUAAGACUGGGAUAACUUCGGGAAACCGGAGCUAAUACCGGAUAAUAUAUUGAACCGCACGGUUCAAUAGUGAAAGACGGUUUUGCUGUCACUUAUAGAUGGAUCCGCGCCGCAUUAGCUAGUUGGUAAGGUAACGGCUUACCAAGGCAACGAUGCGUAGCCGACCUGAGAGGGCGAUCGGCCACACUGGAACUGAGACACGGUCCAGACUCCUACGGGAGGCAGCAGUAGGGAAUCUUCCGCAAUGGGCGAAAGCCUGACGGAGCAACGCCGCGUGAGUGAUGAAGGUCUUCGGAUCGUAAAACUCUGUUAUUAGGGAAGAACAAAUGUGUAAGUAACUAUGCACGUCUUGACGGUACCUAAUCAGAAAGCCACGGCUAACUACGUG